rnacentral:tRNA from 1 species
CGAGCUUAGCUCAGUUGGUUAGAGCGGAUGGUUGUGGUCCAUCAGGUCAAGGGUUCGAUCCCCUUAGCUCGCCCCA